rnacentral:rRNA from 1 species
CAGCCGCCACGGUAAUACGGAGGGGGCUAGCGUUGUUCGGAAUUACUGGGCGUAAAGCGCACGUAGGCGGCUUGGUAAGUUAGAGGUGAAAGCCCGGAGCUCAACUCCGGAAUUGCCUUUAAGACUGCCGAGCUAGUAGGUGAGAGAGGUAAGUGGAAUUCCGAGUGUAGAGGUGAAAUUCGUAGAUAUUCGGAAGAACACCAGUGGCGAAGGCGGCUUACUGGCUCAUUCUAGACGCUGAGGUGCGAAAGCGUGGGGAGCAAACAGGAUUAGAUACCCCAGUAGUCCCUGUCUCUUAUCA